AAACCAAUUCUAUUCUAUGAACUGUCAAAUAUGAUCAACAUAUCCUUCACAUCUACGUUCAAAUCAAAGCUGGAGCCAUCGCAUGAAUAUGUACACUUUAAAAUUCACAAAAGGACAUUCUCACAGGUUCACUGGAGCUUAAUGAGUAGUUAAUAUAUCUGCACCGAAGUGACAGGAAUUUAUUUUGAAAAAGCUGUACACGACUUGCUUGUGUUAGAGGAUCAUUGUGGUCAAAGGUUAUAGGAGGCAAAGAAAUUCCCAUCCUAGAUGCAGAAGAGCCUGCAAACUGAGCAAGAUAUAUGUAAAUGCAAGAUAUAUGUAAAUGCAAGAUAUCAGAAACAGGUCUAGGAGUGGAUGGUGACCCCUUUCUACAUGUUACUCAGUUACUACAAUAUAUGUUAAUCAAGUUGAAUAAUAUAUGUCAUUCAAACCUACUAAACAUCAAGCUACAACGAAUGACACUGUGAAUAUAUUUUCAUUGCUCCUCUAAUUAUGUCUUUGAUAUUGAUUUUGACGAAUGGAACUAGAGAGGGCAUAAAAGUAUCUGUAUUGCUCUUGAGACAUACCCCGUGCCAACCAUGGUGUCACUCAUGUAAUAAACUUUUAACAAAUA
rnacentral:lncRNA from 10 species